UUCCGGUUGAUCCUGCCGGAGGCCAUUGCUAUCGGAGUCCGAUUUAGCCAUGCUAGUCGCACGAAUUUAGAUUCGUGGCAUAUAGCUCAGUAACACGUGGCCAAACUACCCUACAGACCGCGAUAACCUCGGGAAACUGAGGCCAAUAGCGGGUAUCACUCUCACGCUGGAGUGCCGAGAGUGAGAAACGUUCCGGCGCUGUAGGAUGUGGCUGCGGCCGAUUAGGUAGAUGGUGGGGUAACGGCCCACCGUGCCGAUAAUCGGUACAGGUUGUGAGAGCAAGAGCCUGGAGACGGUAUCUGAGACAAGAUACCGGGCCCUACGGGGCGCAGCAGGCGCGAAACCUUUACACUGCACGACAGUGCGAUAGGGGGACUCCGAGUGUGAGGGCAUAUAGCCCUCGCUUUUCUGUACCGUAAGGUGGUACAGGAACAAGGACUGGGCAAGACCGGUGCCAGCCGCCGCGGUAAUACCGGCAGUCCAAGUGAUGGCCGAUAUUAUUGGGCCUAAAGCGUCCGUAGCUUACUGUGUAAGUCCAUUGGGAAAUCGACCAGCUCAACUGGUCGGCGUCCGGUGGAAACUACACAGCUUGGGGCCGAGAGACUCAACGGGUACGUCCGGGGUAGGAGUGAAAUCCUGUAAUCCUGGACGGACCACCAAUGGGGAAACCACGUUGAGAGACCGGACCCGACAGUGAGGGACGAAAGCCAGGGUCUCGAACCGGAUUAGAUACCCGGGUAGUCCUGGCUGUAAACAAUGCUCGCUAGGUAUGUCACGCGCCAUGAGCACCUGAUGUGCCGUAGUGAAGACGAUAAGCGAGCCGCCUGGGAAGUACGUCCGCAAGGAUGAAACUUAAAGGAAUUGGCGGGGGAGCACCACAACCGGAGGAGCCUGCGGUUUAAUUGGAUUCAACGCCGGG
rnacentral:rRNA from 1 species